rnacentral:rRNA from 1 species
CAGCAGCCACGGUAAUACCGAGGGUGCGAGCGUUAAUCGGAUUUACUGGGCGUAAAGCGUGCGUAGGCGGCUUCUUAAGUCGGAUGUGAAAUCCCUGAGCUUAACUUAGGAAUUGCAUUCGAUACUGGGAAGCUAGAGUAUGGGAGAGGAUGGUAGAAUUCCAGGUGUAGCGGUGAAAUGCGUAGAGAUCUGGAGGAAUACCGAUGGCGAAGGCAGCCAUCUGGCCUAAUACUGACGCUGAGGUACGAAAGCAUGGGGAGCAAACAGGAUUAGAUACCCCCGUAGUCCCUGUCUCUUAUAC